UACAGAGGUUGCAAGCGUUAAUCGGAAUUACUGGGCGUAAAGCGCACGUAGGCGGCUUCGCAAGUCGGAUGUGAAAUCCCUUGGCUCAACCAAGGACGUGCAUCCGAAACUGCGAGGCUUGAGUACAGAAGAGGAUCGCGGAAUUCCCGGUGUAGAGGUGAAAUUCGUAGAUAUCGGGAGGAACACCAGUGGCGAAGGCGGCGAUCUGGGCUGAUACUGACGCUGAGGUGCGAAAGCGUGGGGAGCAAACAGG
rnacentral:rRNA from 1 species